rnacentral:rRNA from 1 species
CCUAACACAUGCAAGUCGAGCGGUAACAGAUUGAUAGCUUGCUAUCAAUGCUGACGAGCGGCGGACGGGUGAGUAAUGCCUGGGAAUAUGCCCUGAUGUGGGGGAUAACUAUUGGAAACGAUAGCUAAUACCGCAUAAUCUCUUCGGAGCAAAGAGGGGGACCUUCGGGCCUCUCGCGUCAGGAUUAGCCCAGGUGGGAUUAGCUUGUUGGUGGGGUAAUGGCUCACCAAGGCAACGAUCCCUAGCUGGUCUGAGAGGAUGAUCAGCCACACUGGAACUGAGACACGGUCCAGACUCCUACGGGAGGCAGCAGUGGGGAAUAUUGCACAAUGGGGGAAACCCUGAUGCAGCCAUGCCGCGUGUAUGAAGAAGGCCUUCGGGUUGUAAAGUACUUUCAGUUGUGAGGAAGGCGUUGAUGUUAAUAGCUUCAGCGUUUGACGUUAGCAACAGAAGAAGCACCGGCUAACUCCGUGCCAGCAGCCGCGGUAAUACGGAGGGUGCGAGCGUUAAUCGGAAUUACUGGGCGUAAAGCGCAUGCAGGUGGUCUGUUAAGCAAGAUGUGAAAGCCCGGGGCUCAACCUCGGAACAGCAUUUUGAACUGGCAGACUAGAGUACUGUAGA